GACGAACGCUGGCGGCGUGCUUAACACAUGCAAGUCGAACGGAAAGGCCCUGCUUGCAGGGUACUCGAGUGGCGAACGGGUGAGUAACACGUGGGUGAUCUGCCCUGCACUUCGGGAUAAGCCUGGGAAACUGGGUCUAAUACCGGAUAGGAGCCAUUUUUAGUGUGAUGGUUGGAAAGUUUUUUCGGUGUAGGAUGAGCUCGCGGCCUAUCAGCUUGUUGGUGGGGUAAUGGCCUACCAAGGCGGCGACGGGUAGCCGGCCUGAGAGGGUGGACGGCCACAUUGGGACUGAGAUACGGCCCAGACUCCUACGGGAGGCAGCAGGGGGGAAUAUUGCACAAUGGGCGCAAGCCUGAUGCAGCGACGCCGCGUGGGGGAUGACGGCCUUCGGGUUGUAAACCCCUUUCGCUAGGGACGAAGCUUUUUGUGACGGUACCUAGAGAAGAAGCACCGGCUAACUACGUG
rnacentral:rRNA from 1 species